rnacentral:rRNA from 1 species
UACAGAGGGUGCAAGCGUUAAUCGGAAUUACUGGGCGUAAAGCGCGCGUAGGUGGUUUGUUAAGUUGGAUGUGAAAUCCCCGGGCUCAACCUGGGAACUGCAUCCAAAACUGGCAAGCUAGAGUAUGGUAGAGGGUGGUGGAAUUUCCUGUGUAGCGGUGAAAUGCGUAGAUAUAGGAAGGAACACCAGUGGCGAAGGCGACCACCUGGACUGAUACUGACACUGAGUGCGAAAGCGUGGGGAGGCAAACAG